UAGCGCCGUCCACCUCUCUCUCUCUCUCUCUCUCUCUCUCUCUCUCUCUCUCUCUCGGCGUGGAUGGCGUGGGCGGAGGUCACGCGCGUCCCGCCGCCAAUCUGCUCCUGUAUGCGGUGCGGCUGGCCUUCAUCCUAGCGUGGGCGCCGCUCGUGCUGGGCCACGGUGCGGCGCGCGCGAGUUCGGCUGCUCGCGGGAUCUUCGCCUGCUCGAGAUCUGCUCUUCGUCCACCCCUCCAUGGUUCUAGGGUCAAGCUGCCCUUUGAGAUCCGCGCGCUCGAACUCGCCCUCGAGGCUGCUUGCUCCUUUCUUGUUGCACAGGUGAUCAUCGAAACUCAACUUCAUGCUCUUCCUUUUUCCUUGUUUAUUUGACCCUUGUGCGAUUUGAUUAGGAUAUGGUCAGAUGAUGUUAUUCUGUGUCUGAACUCUAUUCGAUAGUAAUGGAUAGUUGAGCCCACAAUUUCAGUUCACACGAUUGGCCUUUGAAAGUCUGAAUCAGGAUUCUGAAAUUAUACUAGUAAUGUAGCUCUCUAUUUCUGAAUUCAGGAAGCCUGUACAAGGUUAAACACACUAGUUUUAUUUUGCACUACCUGUAUGUCAUGCCAAUGCCAUGCCUCUGCUUGUGAAGGAUUAGUAGAGUACACAGUUUAAAGUUUUGCAGUAGUACUCUGCCCUUUGCUAGUUACAUACCAUGUAGUUUUUAUUACUAUGAAUUGUUAGUUACAUCUGCAGAUUGCUAAGUUUGUUUGGAAGCAUUAACAUUUUAUUACUUUGUACAAGUGAAUGAGUUCUAUGACCUGUGUAUUUCUGAAUCCAGAAAGCCAUUCUAGCAGAGUUAUGUUUAUGCAGUAAUUCCCUCUUCGUGGUAGUCCUUUUAGUUGAAUUCUCGCAGCAUGAUUUCGUUUUGUUCUUAUCUUAACCUGAGCAAAUGUCCGUAUUUGUUUAGAAUACUCAGAAAUUUAUCAUAUGCUACAUGUAUUAAGCUGAACUGAUUGUUUAGUACAUUCAUGCGGUUGUGCCAAAACUGCCUUUGUUCUUUCUUGAGUACCAUCUUAGUUCUUUGUAAAAUGGGCAUGUUGCUAAUAGCCUAAUAUCUUUGUUUAUUUACUGGAAUCAAGAUUAUGAUAUGCCCAUGCAUCAAUCUGAAAGUUGGUUGCUCCCACAAAACAUAGGCUGCAAUUUUUUCCUAAUUGCAUCAAUUUUAUAGCAAUUUGCAUACAUAUUUAUCAUGCACCUUUUUGUGUAGUAAUCAUUAAUCCUUGUUUAACGCCUCUCUCCUAGAGAGAAAGCGUGUGCUAAGGCAAGCAGCUUGGAGAGAAAGCUGCUCUGCACAGCAGCAGGUCGGCAGAAGCAGGUGGCCAUGAACAUCAUUUGCAGGUACUAUGACAUCAAGGUACGCUGAGACUGAUGCAAAACUUGAGGUCGUGCUUAAAACAUGGAUUUGCUGGAAGCUACUUUUUUUUUGUUUUUCAGAAUUGUGAGAGGUUUUGCUAGAGUUACACUGAUUUCAUGCUGAAUUGAAAAACUUUGAUGUUGUAUCAUGUAUGAGUUGUUGGAUUAGAUUGUAUGCUAGUUUAUAUCUUGAUUUGAGCUGAAAUGAUAAUGCAUUGAUUAGAAAAACAUGCUGUAUUUUAAUGGCCCAGAUGUAAAAUGGGCUCUGACUUUUUUAUGAGUAGAAACUUAAUUGGGCCAUAUGCAAAUGGGCCCAAAUUGACU